UCCGAAUUGGUGUAGUGGCUAACAUUUGACGCUCUCAAGUUGCCGGCAAUUAAAAAGCUAGCUCCUGGACGAUCCGUCAAGCCCGGGGUUCGAUUCCCCGAUUCGGAG
rnacentral:tRNA from 1 species